rnacentral:antisense_RNA from 1 species
CUUCACCGACCCGAGCAGCAGCGGCCCGCCGACGCGGUCCUGGCCGUAGGUGGCUAGCAGCGCCUGUGCCUC